UACGUAGGAGGCAAGCGUUGUCCGGAUUUAUUGGGCGUAAAGAGCGUGUAGGCGGCCAAAUAGGUCGGUUGUGAAAACUGGAGGCUUAACCUCCAGACGUCGACCGAAACCAGUCGGCUAGAGUCCGGAAGAGGAGAGUGGAAUUCCUGGUGUAGCGGUGAAAUGCGCAGAUAUCAGGAAGAACACCCGUGGCGAAGGCGGCUCUCUGGGACGGUACUGACGCUGAGGCGCGAAAGCGUGGGGAGCAAACAGG
rnacentral:rRNA from 1 species